UACGGGGGGGGCAAGCGUUGUUCGGAAUUACUGGGCGUAAAGGGCUUGUAGGCGGCCAACUAAGUCAGACGUGAAAUCCCUCGGCUUAACCGGGGAACUUCGUCUGAUACUGGAUGGCUUGAGAUUGGGAGAGGGAUGCGGAAUUCCAGGUGUAGCGGUGAAAUGCGUAGAUAUCGGGAAGAACACCCGUGGCUAAGGCGGCUCUCUAGUACGGUACUGACGCUGAGACGCGAAAGCGUGGGGAGCAAACAGG
rnacentral:rRNA from 1 species